GACGAACGCUGGCGGCGUGCUUAACACAUGCAAGUCGAACGGAAAGGCCCUGCUUUUGUGGGGUGCUCGAGUGGCGAACGGGUGAGUAACACGUGAGUAACCUGCCCUUGACUUUGGGAUAACUUUAGGAAACUGGGGCUAAUACCGGAUAGGAGCUCCUGCUGCAUGGUGGGGGUUGGAAAGUUUCGGCGGUUGGGGAUGGACUCGCGGCUUAUCAGCUUGUUGGUGGGGUAGUGGCUUACCAAGGCUUUGACGGGUAGCCGGCCUGAGAGGGUGACCGGCCACAUAGGGACAGAGAUACGGCCCAGAGUCCGACGGGAGGCAGCAGUGCGAAUAUUGCACAAUGGGCGGAAGCCUGAUGCAGCAACGCCGCGUGCGGGAUGACGGCCUUCGGGUUGUAAACCGCUUUGGCCUGUGACGAAGCGUGAGUGACGGUAAUGGGUAAAGAAGCACCGGCUAACUACGUG
rnacentral:rRNA from 1 species